AUACGGAGGGGACUAGCGUUGUUCGGAAUUACUGGGCGUAAAGAGUACGUAGGCGGUCUAUCAAGUUGGGUGUGAAAGCCCGGGGCUCAACCCCGGAACUGCACUCAAAACUGAUAAACUAGAGAUCGGAAGAGGUAAGUGGAAUUCCCAGUGUAGAGGUGAAAUUCGUAGAUAUUGGGAAGAACACCAGUGGCGAAGGCGGCUUACUGGUCCGAGACUGACGCUGAGGUACGAAAGCGUGGGGAGCAAACAGGAUUAGAAACCCGAGUAGUCC
rnacentral:rRNA from 1 species